UGGUGCAGUCCUGGCUGUGUGACAGCUUGGUGGGACGGUGCAGUCCUGGCUGUGUGACAGCUUGGUGGGAUGGUGCUAUCCUGGCUGUAUGACAACUUGGUGGGAUGGUGCAGUCCUGGCUGUGUGACAGCUUAGUGGGAUGGUGCAGUCCUGGCUGUGUGACAGCUUGGUGGGAUGGUGCUGACCUGGUUGUGUGACAGUUUGGUGGGAUGGUGCAGUCCUGGCUGUGUGACAGCUUGGUGUAACAGUGCAGUCCUGGCUGUGUGACAGCUUGGUGGGAUGGUGUAUGAGCAUGUAUUACGUAAUGUUGUGUAAAAUAUGCAUCACAAUGAAGUAAAAACCCAAAUGAAGCUGUGAUACAUUAUUUGACCCCAUUCUUAAUUAAGUUCUUAAUGAUGUUUCCAGCCGAGUGCCCCCAAGAAAUAUAGGUGCCCCUGUAUUAAGUUCAGUGCUGAACCUUAAGAACCAUCUGAGUGAGUCCAACAGCUCACUGACCAGUAGUACUUCGUCCAUGGAUCAGUCAGAAAAGGAUGGCACUGAAAAACAGAUACCGCACGCGACAAGAAAGGUGACAAAGGCCACAAGCGAGUACACUUGUCAGGGUCAAGUGUCGGAACAGAUAAGGGGUCAGCUCCGUCUCCUAAACCGUCGGCCAUGAUUCUGAAGUACCAGCGACUGUACAUAUCACCGAGAUUAAGGACCUCCUUCUGUGUUUCCUGUACAUCCUGAAACACCUCCCAAACGAUAUCCUCCUUGGCUGGUUCAAUAAUUCCUCAGAGUUUGACAUAAUAGAUUUCUUCAGUAUUUUAGAGGUUUGUUUGACUUACUUUAAAUACCAGGGAAAGAAGAAGAUCCAUGACCUCAGGUGUCUCAUUUGUGCCACAAUGGCCUCUGUACUAAGUUUGAACACCUGAAUCUUUAGCCAGGUUACAUCAAUAACAGCAUACAAUCCUGCAAGCUGAGGCAGCCUCAGACUUGUUUAGGCCAUAGCCCUCAUCCAAAGUGUAGUUUUUUUGACAAGCAGAGAUGAACAACAACUCAAGACUGCCAACUGCAUGUAGCCUCAGCACUGUAGAGUCUGCUAUACCAAAGUUGCACAGAUGAACAGCAGUGUGAAUUCUAGCAGGAAAGUUGCGGUAACGAGUCAUCAAUUUUUCUGAUCACAAGAGCCCACCAGCACAACAAGGGUAAAGGCAGAGGGCUACAGAAAAAGAUCUUAAAGGUAUGGAACAGCCUCUCAAAUGAUCUAAGAAGUGUAAAAAAAUGUUCUGCAGUCUGUUGCUAACAUGGAACAGCAAUAUUUGCAAAUUUUCUAUUUUUGUCUUUUUGAAGCUUUUGCAAAAAUUUGCAUAAUUUGUAAUUUUCAAUGUAAGUUAGCAGUCUAAGGGGAGGUAAUUUAUUAUACUUAUAACAGAGUUUUCUCCCUUCUAUUGCACACAC